GAUGAACGCUGGCGGCGUGCCUAAUACAUGCAAGUCGAGCGAACAGAUAAGGAGCUUGCUCCUUUGACGUUAGCGGCGGACGGGUGAGUAACACGUGGGUAACCUACCUAUAAGACUGGGAUAACUUCGGGAAACCGGAGCUAAUACCGGAUAACAUUUGGAACCGCAUGGUUCUAAAGUGAAAGAUGGUUUUGCUAUCACUUAUAGAUGGACCCGCGCCGUAUUAGCUAGUUGGUAAGGUAACGGCUUACCAAGGCGACGAUACGUAGCCGACCUGAGAGGGUGAGCGGCCACACUGGAACUGAGACACGGUCCAGACUCCUACGGGAGGCAGCAGUAGGGAAUCGUCCGCAAUGGGCGAAAGCCUGACGGAGCAACGCCGCGUGAGUGAUGAAGGGUUUCGGCUCGUAAAACUCUGUUAUUAGGGAAGAACAAACGUGUAAGUAACUGUGCACGUCUUGACGGUACCUAAUCAGAAAGCCACGGCUAACUACGUG
rnacentral:rRNA from 1 species